AGGCACCCACUGAUGGGUAAUCUGUUUACCUAAAAACAGCCCACCACAAUCCAUGUUUACCAGCUGUGAAAGUGCAGGCCAAAAAUCUUCCUUCACCUGUGGGCCUCUACCCACAUGUAGAUAAGCACUUCAGGAGAAACCUGCCUGUGAUCUGCUAAGAUGCACAGAUUCAACUCUGGCCCAUUGUCAUCCCAACACCUCAUCUGCCAUCAGUUUCGUUUAGUGUCGGUCUAUUGCAAAAGUUCUUAUAAACUUUAAAUGAGACUUUGUGUUAAGCAGGGGUUUCCAAACUUUUCAUUCCACAACAUAUUAAGCCCAGGAUACACAGCAGGAUUUUUGCAAUCCAAUAAGACCUUAUCACACUGUGUGACAAGGAUUGUUUAAACUUCAGCAGUAGACUGUCGAUGAAGACACCUAUUGAAUCUGAAGCUGCGACAUCUGUCAUCAGCAUGCGCUAGUGGUAAACAAAUACAGGUUUGCAGAUCGUAGAAGCAAACACAUUGUUGAUGUGCGAUGAUCAUGCUGAACUUCUUACACUGUCAUAAAACUAUCGUAGGUGUCUUUGGUCCCAGGACUGGAAAAACAGACGUCUUUAAACCUCUC